CAGAGCUUACUGCCAGGUGGAGGGUUUGGAUAUGCGGCGCCGCGUUUCAUCUCGCUUAGCCGCAUGCGCGAUGUGCGAUGCGCGAUACCCUCGCCCCUGGAGCUCGACUACUCCCCUGAGGAGUGACCUUCCCACCCGGCGCUGACAGAGCCACUAUUGCGCAGUGGAAUGGUGUCUACGCCGUCUGCAACCGGCUCAUAGCGCUUGAGAUCUGGCUCUUCAUGAGCUCUGUGGACAGGCUCAUCCAUCGCAGAACCUCUCUCACUCCACCAGAGAUUUUGGAGAUUCAACAGUCCGUCGGUGCUCUGCUCGCAGCGCCUCCUCACACAGCCGCCGCCCAGGGGGAACACCGUCGCUGGUCGAAGGGGAGGGGUGAGCCCAGCCGUCCGGAUCAUCGCCGCGCUGAUCAUCGCUGCUCCUCUUGGAGAGACCAGUCGGUCUCUCAGCUCUGCACCCUCCAAAUGCGAAGGAAGAAAACUUUGUAUCUAAAAGUAUGCAUCUGAACCAAAGUCUAACUCAAAAAAAAAAAAAAAAAGAUGCAUGACUUUGGUAUUUGGUCUGUUUCUUCUCCGCCCAAAAUUAGGGUUUAUCACCCUCCAAGUUCCGGUUCCAGUCAAUGCGGAAUCCUGCUUCAAAAUGUGUUUUUGUUUGAUAUCGUCUCUAGAGACGGGGAAGUUUCUGGAGCCAAGAAGUUAUGUUUUUUUUCAGCUUCGCCACAAUAAGUAGCAUAGGCGUCAAAUAACUCUUUCCCGUCUCUCAACAGAUCCCGGUUCUUGCCAAAAGUCGGGAGAGUUUCAAUUUUGCCAUUAACUCUUCUUAUUAUUCAGACUUGCCAGUUUCCAGCAGGGGUCGCCACAGGACCGCGAAAGCCACCACUUCAUCACACACACUCCAAACCUCUCGUAGGCAAGCAAGACAUCGUCAUCGAGAGAGUCAUCUCUUUCUGAGGAUGAUUGGGCCGGUCCCUCGGGUGUCCAUCUUAGGAGAAUUGCAGUGUCAGAUCAAGUUCAGGGGUAACCUUUGCUGUUGACCAGGCCUGCCAGAACUUCAUCGGACUCCUUUUCAAACGGACUCCAGUCUCGCUAUGGAUGCCUCUUCCUCUGCACGCCAUAGAUGUCGUCACCCAUCUGUGUGACAUUCAUUUAACGCAGAGUGAUACAAGUAAAAAGAUUUAAUUAUUCGAGCAAUAAUGCGACCAACUUUUGAAGACGGUGGCGUACACGCGGAUCCGACUGCAGUGCUCCCUUCAAUAGAUACCAGUCUAGCCACGGAUGCUUUAUAGGAAUUAUUACCCCUCUGGGUAAUAAUUAACGCAGAGUGAUACAGGUGAAAAUAGCCAAAUGCGGGAGCAGUACGGUGCGACAUGUUAGUUUUGUAGUGUGCAUUUUGUGUUUAGCAUUUUUAAAAAUGCUAAUUAAAAAAAAAAAAAUUAAAAAAUCUAUUCAAAAC